GAAAUACAAUAUCAAAAUGUCAUGCUAAAACAAAACUACUCAUGUUGACUGCUUUUAGACUGAAUUCUUCAUAUGGUCUUGACUCUUCCUGUGGAUCUCAGCCUUCGGUGUAAAAUCGGAUCACACCAGGGCUGCGUCCGGCGCUGAACUGUGGCUGGGCAGCUGCCUCCGCCUGGGACCGUUUGGCUCCUGACCAGCUGCUCCUCAAAUUGAGUUAAAUUGCCUCCCAGGAUGUACAUGAUGUAAUUUCAUGAACCCCCACUCACACUAAAGUAGACACUAACAAAGACUCUACUGGAAGUCAUUUACAAUAGUCCACCAUCUACAGAUGUAUGUUUUCACAAAGUUUUGGGAACGAGGAGAACCAGGAGGUGCAAACUCCUUCUUACUGUGGAGAGACGACACUUUGUUUCUGUGCAGCCCAAAAGCAGAACAGUAAUAAUUAUGUUCCAAGGAAAACUAUGCAGAAAAAAAAUGAUACGUCACACAUGAGUUUCACUUCAAACUUUAUUUCCCUUUUUGAACUAGUUGUAGAAGGCAGUUGUUUAGUCAGUCCACAUAUUGCCCUCUGCAUGAGUGGUGAAAUAAUGCAAAGACAGAAUGAUGUAAUUUUUUAAUGACAGACAUCCUUUGGCAGGAUAAAACUCCAGCACAAAACCAGUUUCAAACUUCCUGUUCUUGUCUUGCUUGGCUGGCAAGGACAGUAAGUGGAAAGACAGACUGUUAUCCUGGAACCGCUCGGCCAUUUAGAGGCCGCAAUGUGGAAAAGCACAAUGUUUAACAAGCUUGUUUGACAAAGGAGGCCCCCAGAGCACAAUUUUAUGUAUUUCUUGAAUGGACCACAAGUCUUGAAACAGUUAAACAUUGAGUCUUUGUCCCAUCUAAUGACAGAACUGCAGUGAAAGAAACGUAUCACAGAAAUAUUAUUUGUGUGAAAAGAUGAGUGGACACAUGAUAUAUUUGUCUUUGAAAUAUCAGUGAGGCAGAAGAUGGAAGGAAUCUGGACCUUUCAAAGUUGAACAAAGCAGAACUCUGUAAGGUGGGACUCAAUGACGAUGGCAGUUAAAGGGCAAUAAUGGCAACAAUAAAGUGUGAUGUGAAAAAAAUAUCAUUUCUGAAUAAAGCCACAGAAACUGUUAUGAAUAAAUGGAAAAAGUAAUCAAACUUUUUUUUCCCAAUCUAUACAUGUGAAAUUAAAAGCUUCUAAGUCUAAUUUAUUAAAUAAAAUAUAUUUUAUAUAUUCUUGCAAAGGAAACAAAUAAAACAUAUGUGUGCUUUUGAAAACAAUAUUAGAAAACAUCACCUUUGUAAAAUAUGUCAUUUUUGCCCAAAAGUGAUUUCUGCAAAAAUAAAAAAGAAUCACUCCUUUGUAUUGCAAAACAGAUCAUUUUUGGCAAAAAAAAAAAAAAAAAAAAUUUGAGACAUUAUUUUAAGAAGGUGACGAUAAUUUUCAUCACAUCUUAGCCCAUCCUAAUCUGCAGCAGUUAUAAAAUACCUUGAAAGUAUUUAUACCCUUUGAACAUUUCUGCAGUUUUUCAGAACCCCAAACUUUGCUGCAUUUUGUUUUUUUUUAUUCUGGUAGGGAAACAUAAAACAAUGAUCACUGGCUGCGGCAAUGAGAUAAACAUGGAGAACCGUUCAGCCCUUCAUCCAGAGGAGGAACCGUAUAAGCAUGACUCAACUGCAAAGUCACCUGGGAAAGGAGAUAAUUAGUCAGGGAAGAUCUGGAGAACCGGCAUUGGUGAAGAGUUUUGGACAAAGUGGAAAUGUGGAAGUUUGCUGUGAGAAUUAUUUCCUUCAGAGAGAAACUGGCAAGAUGGUGGGAUCUAAACACAAGGUUUCUUUAUUUUUAUGUGUAAAAAAUAUUUAAAAAAUUUGUGUAAUCUCCCUUUUAAUUCACAGUUCUGCUUUACUGUGUGCUGUUCGAUCAUAAAAUUCACUAAAAGUGAAAUAGAUUUUUUGGUUGUAACAUGAACUGAUGUGCAAAAGCUCAAAGGGUAUGAAUGCAUUUGCAAGGAACUGUAGAUCAAACAGAAUUCAUCUGUUCAUAUGACAAAUAUUGCAUAAAAACAUAAUAGUAUUUAAAAUGCUCCCUUUCAGCAUAAAAUAAUCAAACAAGUUUUAGGUAUAUUAUAAGUCUAUAAGUGUAUUUGACUUAUUUUUUUUCUUUGCUACUUGAAAGAAAAUAUAAAGGGUUUUCAUUAUUAUUGGAAGACACACAUGAGACAAAAACAUAAAAAAUGAAAAAUAUAUUAAAUAUGAUGUAGUAAUGAAAAAUAAAUAACAUUUAUGAGUAGAAAAGGGAGAAUGCAUCCAGGGCGACUGCCAGCAGAGUUGGCACAACAAAUUUCAGUGAAGUGAGUGGAGUUGCUGUAGUUGCUGCUCUGCAUUGUAAUGGGACCCCAGUGUGAAGCGUGGCCUGUGAAUGGAGCCCAAGGUCGAAUGAAGGCAGAUUCCUUUAGUCCCGCUCAGGAACACGGAGAACAGGAACCUGCUAGCUAGUGAAUAUUUCAGCCUCUGGGCAGAGUUAGCUGUAGGGGAGUGAAGUCGGUGUAACGUUGCAUUCACUUUCUCUUGUUUCACCCUGUAGAAGCAAACCUCUGCACGGCUGUUUGGGUUUAGUUCAAGAAAGUUGUUAGUAUCAAAGAACUUUUGGUUAGUAUAACAAGAAGCAAGAAAACCUGCAGUAUUCUUAGGCUGGGGAGUGUUAGACUUUUUUCAUUAAAAAAGGUAAUUUAAAUUAGAUGAAGAAUUUUAAGAUAGUGACUAAAUAAGAACUAGGUUUGAAUUUGAACUAAAUUUGAUGUAUAAUAUUGUAAAGUGGUAUUAAAAUAUUUACAACUUUAAAAGGUGAGUUGGGUAAAACAGCGCCCCUACUGGCUUAGAGAUGCAACAGAUUCUCGGUAAAUAAAAACAAACAAUGUUGGUCAUUUCAUCCCUUCGCCAUUUUGUACUUUGAUUCAAUUAAUUAAAUCAAAAUUCAAAUUAAUUUAAAUUUGGAUUCAAUUAAUACAGACUUUGCAAAAACACUUUUAACUCCCUAUUUUAAUAGUUCAAAUACCAAAUAUACUUUGAUAUGUUCAACACACACAGUGGAAACCAUCAUAGCACAGCUGCACAAUCUAAAAUCUACUCUCCCUUAUCGCAGCUUUUGGGGUUACAGCCAAUCAGCACCAGGGAAAUGGUGCACAUGGAUUGGCUGUUUUAAUGGUGUAUCAAGUCGCAUUCAUUUGUAUUAAUUUCAGUUUCCUAAGCUACGUUGUCUCUCCAAAAAAUUUAGACAUGCUCUUUGAAAGAAAUUGGGGAAUGAAUGGAUUUUCCACAAAUAAUUUGGAGUUACGCUGCACAGAAAAAUCCAGAAAUCUGUGAAUACUGAACCGGAAACAUCCAGUGUAUUUCAUGCAAUGAAAGGGUUUGAAAAAGUUUCAUGAGUAUCUAACAUAAAUUCAGGUUUUCAGGGUUUCCCCCGUUGGAAAUCCCUCAUUCAUUCAGCACAUUGCUCAGAUAAAUGCUGAGUUUCAAGCCACGCCCCUUUGGUGCUGCAGGUUGCCUAAACACACAGCGCCCAUGAUCAAUGUAUGAUGUCAAAGGAGGAUUUGGACACCACUAACUUAGACUGACGGAAGCAGAAUUAUACUUUAACAUAACCCAUAGUUUCAGAUUUCAUUUGAGAAAAGACAAGAAGGGAAGAUUCCCAGUCCUGUUUGUGACAGAAUUAGAAUUAAACUCACACAAAAGCCACAAUAUAUGAAGUCAAACCUGGACAGAAAUGUUCAACACUGUUUUCAGAUUCUUGAACAAUCUGAAAAUGGUGAAAUCUCACCUCUUUUUAUAAUACCAUAAAAGAGUUUUUACAAAUUUUAAAAUCUCAUAUUGUCUCCUGAGCUGGUUGUAUUAUUACACCCUAAUUAAAUAUGAAAGGGAAUACAGUCAUAUGCGCCGCAUAGGUGUGUUUGUGGGCACAAAACGGAAAUGAUGGUACGACAUGACGAAGGGAAAAAACUGACCUGGAGCCUGAUUCAUCCAGUAAAAUGUGUGAGCAGAACAGUGUAGAAAAGGGGAAGGAAAAAAGAUCAAUUUGUUUUUGUUUUUAUCCACAUUCAUUCAGCUUUUCAGUUAUAUCUCUACAGGGCAUAAAAUUCAUCUUUGCAGCCAUCACCACAAUAAACCAGAGCAGUUUACACUCUUUGUAAGUCAUUUAUAAACUGCCAAGUACAUUAACUGUUCAAGCUGCUUUAGAGAGUAAAAAAAAGUACAGCUUAUCACAAAAAAUAAUAAGGGAGACUACGUAAAAUAAUUAAGACCCAUGUACAUAUCAACAGCAUAUAUAUAUUACAUUACAGGUUUUUUGGGGAUCUCCAGAACUGUUGUUUAAGUGGUUGGAACCGUAAAAAAAGAAAUCCAGAGAGUUGCAUCUUUUCAGUCUUCUGGCUUUUAAAAAAUGCUAAGAAGCAGUUCCAUAAUGUGCAGCUUUCCUCCUGGACCCCAUGCUGAGAGGAGCUGCAUCAGAGGCCGUCACCUCUUUCUGCUUUUUACCUUUCCUGACCUUUUUUCCAGUGAUGAACCUGAGUGUUCAUGAUUCCUCUAAAGAGUCUGUACACACCACUGUCUGCAGAACGGCCUCGUCAAUCUGCAGGAAUAACCUUCUGGAGAGUGCGAGCAGUCUGUGUCAGCACCAUUCUGAGAGCAGCGACGGCAGGCCAGAAGAAAUUUGGGGAGAUGCUUAAUGUCCAAACUUUGCUAAAAAAAAA